GCUCCAUGACCUAGUGGUUAGAGCGUCCGCCUCGGAAGCGGAAGGUCGUGGGUUCGAUGCCCGUCGAGUCA